AUUCUGCAUGCCACCCUGCAGAGGAAGUCUUGAGACUAUUUUAAUCUGAUCCAGCUAUUAUGGACCACCGCACCCAUUGUUGGUCACAUCCUGUUUAGAAGGACCUGAGCUGGGCCAUCCCUAGUCUCCCACUGCCAUUCUCCUACUCUCCUGACCCCAGGUAGGCCAUCACUUUAACUUUAUGUCACUUAGGACCAUAGGCUGCCUACCCAUUGUUCUAUGGCAUGUCUUUUGUGGUCUGUUGGUCCUCCCAGAGCUCACAUUAUGCCUAAUAGCUUCACUGGCAACUGCCAUCAUACUCAAUUCCUAGGUCUUUUUAGUCUUUUUCCUUCAGCACAAUGGAGACAGUCUGGUGUCUGGACAUCUGGCUCAGAUCUUGAUUAUUCCUCAGCUCAUUUGGGGCAGUGCACCAGCUCUCAGAGAAGAAAGCAGCCAGCGACAGCCAGCACAGUCUUCCCAGAAUCAUGCUGAGUGGAAAGAGAAGAUGAUGAAACUGUACACCAGUCAGGUUCCCUACCCAGGAAAAGUAUCACCAAUGCCAUCAAGGUGCUGUUAAUGGGGACCGCGGCACAUGGUGGAGACUCCUCAUGUGGCAAUGGACAGGAUGCAAAGCUUACAGAUCAGAUUCAGUGAGUGGCCAGAAGAGGGCACCAGACCUCAUUACAGAUGGUUUGAGCCACCAUGUGGCGGCUGGGAUUUGAACUCAGGACUAUUGGAAGAACAAGCAAUGCUCUUAUCUGCUGAGCCAUCUCUCCAGUCCUCAAACACACUUCUUAAACUCUCUAUCUUACAGAUGAGGACUCUUACUUUUCCUUCUUUCUGAAAACAUCUAUGUCACCUUCAGGCAUGAAGAAUGUUUUCAAUGGCGAAGAGACUGAGUUAACUUUUUCUGUCACCACCCUUUAGAGGAAGUUGGUCUCUGGAUGGGGAAGCUCAGCCAAUCACAUUUGGCUAGGGUGCAGCUUCCUAGAGCCAGGAAAAAAACCUGGGAAUCCAGGUGAAUUAGCUCUCUUUGUCUCUCUUUGCAUGGUGUUCUUCAGACCUGUUUUGUACAUGGGAACCUUUACCCAGGUCGUGUGACU